GGACUAAUAUGUCGGUCGUACUUUGUACGUACUUAGCAUUAUUGGUUUCUCCCUUCUGACGAACCACGAUGCCAUUAAUUUGGUGUCGCGGGAAAUCAGGACUGUUACUUUGAAAAAUUAGGAGUGUUUAAAGCAAGCUCGCGCUUGAAUACAUUAGCAUGGAAUAAUGAAAUAGGACGUUUGAUUCUAUUUUGUUGGUUUCUAGGAUCGACGUAAUGAUUA
rnacentral:rRNA from 1 species